rnacentral:pre_miRNA from 1 species
AAUUAAAUAUAGAAAGUUGGGGCACUUAUAUCGCAGGGGAGAUGGGACCAACUGCAGCCGCUAGGUAGCAGCCGGUGCCAUCCUCCUGCGAUAUGAGAACCCUCCAACUUACUCUUGUCCAAA